UACGGAGGGGGCUAGCGUUUGUUCGGAAUUACUGGGCGUAAAGCGCACGUAGGCGGCUUUGUAAGUUAGAGGUGAAAGCCCGGGGCUCAACUCCGGAAUUGCCUUUAAGACUGCAUCGCUAGAAUUGUGGAGAGGUAAGUGGAAUUCCGAGUGUAGAGGUGAAAUUCGUAGAUAUUCGGAAGAACACCAGUGGCGAAGGCGACUUACUGGACACAUAUUGACGCUGAGGUGCGAAAGCGUGGGGGAGCAAACAGG
rnacentral:rRNA from 1 species